rnacentral:lncRNA from 1 species
AUACAUACAUGUGCGUGCAUGGUGCGCCUGGCGGACGAAUGCAAGGAAAGGACUAUUAAGGCGCCGGGAUCCCCGUCCUCGAUUCCACUCAAACAGUCUGUACAUGGCGGCAGCAGUCCGCUCCGUUACACCGGCAGUGCGCCACAGUUCUGUAGUGAAUAUCAAUGUAGGGACACGGAUCCGAAACCACAAUGCUGCCUACAUAGCAGCUGCUCCGGCCAAAGCAGGACCGCAUUGCGGCUGCGUGGAGCCCCC